GGAGUUGGCCAGACAGUCGCGUCAUCACUCGCUUGCGAGGCGAUGCCGAGGAAAGUCCGGGCUCCACAGGGCACGGUGCCAGGUAACGCCUGGGCGGCGCGAGCCGACGGAAAGUGCAACAGAGAGCAGACCGCCGAUGGCCCGGCGCCCGCGAGGGUAAAGGGAUCAGGCAAGGGUGAAACGGUGCGGUAAGAGCGCACCGCGAGCCUGGCAACAGGCCGGCACGGCAAACCCCACCGGGAGCAAGACCAAAUAGGGAGACGAUGCCGUGGCCCGCGGUGUCUCCGGGUAGGUUGCUUGAGCGUCGCGGUGACGCGGCGCCUAGAGGAAUGACUGUCCACGACAGAACCCGGCUUAUCGGCCGGCUCCGCAC
rfam:Pseudoxanthomonas suwonensis 11-1, complete genome.